UCGGGAAUCUUGGACAAUGGGGGAAACCCUGAUCCAGCCACGCCGCGUGGGUGAUGGAGGCCUUCGGGUCGUAAAGCCCUGUCGGAGGGGAAGAAACGGUUUAAGGUUAAUACCCUUGGAUCUUGACGGUACCCUCGGAGGAAGCACCGGCUAACUACGUGCCAGCAGCCGCGGUAAUACGUAGGGUGCUAGCGUUGCUCGGAAUUACUGGGCGUAAAGGACGUGUAGGCGGCCUUGCAAGCGGGAUGUGAAAACCCCUGGCUUAACCAGGGAAGUGCAUUCCGAACUGCUUGGCUUGAGUCCGAGAGAGGGCGGUGGAAUUCCCGGUGGAACGGUGAAAUGUGUAGAUAUCGGGAGGAACACCUGCGGCGAAGGCGGCCGCCUGGCUCGGUACUGACGCUAAAGCGUGAAAGCGUGGGUAGCAAACAGG
rnacentral:rRNA from 1 species